UACCCAGACUGCGCUGCUGACGGAGCAAGGAUGGGGUGUCUGUGGAGCUGGGCCAAGGGAGCAGCGCUGCUGGUUCGGGGGCUGAAGCCGGUUGACUAUUGAGUGCGACCUACCUGGGGCCAGCAGGGCAAGUCGGGCAUCGCCAGGGGCAAGCGGCGCUCUGUUUCUCUUGUGGCGUGGCGACCCUGUCGACACCCUGGGCGAAGGGAGCAGUGCGGCUUCACCUCCACCCUCGCUGACGUGAGGUGGCAGUGAGUUCAACACGCCGCUACCGUGGCAGUGGUGGCCUCUCAGCUGAUUAUUUUGGUUCCCCUUUGAUGUUGCUUCAGCCAUCGAGGGUGCGUUCAGGUGUGCAUCUACAUUCGUUGAUGUUCUGUUUCUUUGGGGGCUGCAGAAAUUCUCGAUGAUGUUUGUAUGCCACAUGGGUUGUGUUGUAUGCACUAGUAUUGUCUGAGUUGAAGUAUACUAGUAUUUGUUGUGCAGGUUCGAAUUUCCAAAAAAGAGGGAAGGUCAUGACAAAAAUUUCAGUACUCCCUAGCUGUUGUCUUUAGUUGGUAUAUAUUCCUUAGUUGCUAUUUCGUCCUAGUGGUUUGGGCCAGAAUUUCAGCUUGGCCCAGCUCUAAUUUUCAUCCAAAAUAUUUGAAACCAUCGGACAUGACAGCAGCAGCGGGAAAGCGAUGGCGGCUGUGGUUGCAAGGGGCAUCAGCAGCGCGAGGAAGUAGCAGUGGCUGUAGGAGGCGAGGAUGAUGCUUGCGUUUCAAACUGUUAUUUUCUUUGUACUAGACGCUAUGGAGUGGCACUGCUAUGGUUUGAUUCUGAUUUGAACUGUCAUUUUCUUGUAUACCAGGACUGAUUGCAUGAACUUCCAUGCUGUGCAUCUUACUUUGGCUGGACAUUCACUGUUCAGUUGUGUGGAGUUUGUGUUUAGUUAAGGCCUCUGAUCGAGUUAUCAUGUUUGGUUGGAC